rnacentral:rRNA from 2 species
GGCGCAAGCCUGAUGGAGCAACACCGCGUGAGUGAAGAAGGGUUUCGGCUCGUAAAACUCUGUUGUUGGAGAAGAACGUGCGUAAGAGUAACUGUUUACGCAGUGACGGUAUCCAACCAGAAAGUCACGGCUAACUACGUGCCAGCAGCCGCGGUAAUACGUAGGUGGCAAGCGUUAUCCGGAUUUAUUGGGCGUAAAGCGAGCGCAGGCGGUUGCUUAGGUCUGAUGUGAAAGCCUUCGGCUUAACCGAAGAAGUGCAUCGGAAACCGGGCGACUUGAGUGCAGAAGAGGACAGUGGAACUCCAUGUGUAGCGGUGGAAUGCGUAGAUAUAUGGAAGAACACCAGUGGCGAAGGCGGCUGUCUGGUCUGCAACUGACGCUGAGGCUCGAAAGCAUGGGUAGCGAACAGGAUUAGAUACCCUGGUAGUCCAUGCCGUAAACGAUGAGUGCUAGGUGUUGGAGGGUUUCCGCCCUUCAGUGCCGAAGCUAACGCAUUAAGCACUCCGCCUGGGGAGUACGACCGCAAGGUUGAAACUCAAAGGAAUUGACGGGGGCCCGCACAAGCGGUGGAGCAUGUGGUUUAAUUCGAAGCUACGCGAAGAACCUUACCAGGUCUUGACAUCUUGCGCCAACCUCAGAGAUGAGGCGUUCCCUUCGGGGACGCAAAGACAGGUGGUGCAUGGUCGUCGUCAGCUCGUGUCGUGAGAUGUUGGGGUUAAGU